rnacentral:rRNA from 1 species
UACGAAGGGGGCUAGCGUUGUUCGGAAUCACUGGGCGUAAAGCGCACGUAGGCGGCGCGUUAAGUCAGGGGUGAAAUCCUGGAGCUCAACUCCAGAACUGCCCUUGAUACUGGCGUGCUCGAGUGUGGGAGAGGUUGGUGGAACUCCGAGUGUAGAGGUGAAAUUCGUAGAUAUUCGGAAGAACACCAGUGGCGAAGGCGGCCAACUGGCCCAUUACUGACGCUGAGGUGCGAAAGCGUGGGGAGCAAACAGG